UCAAGAAUGGACCAAGACAUGGAGAAAACCCGCGAAGCACAGAUUAGUUAUAUAGAAAGCACCCAUGGAAGCAUCAAGAAGAUUGUAACAUAAACUAUUUUGUUCCGUGUCUCGUUCAGUUUAAUGUUGCGGAAAUUGAAUGUAUCCACACUGUCAUCGAAUGAAUCUACAGAGAAUGUAGGAAAAGAUUCAGAAGGCACAAAAAAAUCAUCGCUCGCGGGUGAAUUUUCGAACUACAUUUAAAUUGGUUGAUUUAAAAAUAUUUUGACACUGAAUUUGGAAUCAUGUGAAAGCAAUUUAAACUCUGGUGCAAAUGGUACGCAACCUGGUUAGUUAGGCAUUAAAAAUUGGAGUAAAUAAGUAUCGUAUUGAAUAGUAGAUUACAUGCUAAAUUUCUUUAAACUUUGUGAAUUAUAUAACGACAAUAGCAAGAAUAUUCUUGAAAUACGACGCGUACAUUACAAGUGUUAAUAACAAUAAAAUUCCUUUUAUCAAUA